rnacentral:rRNA from 1 species
GACGGGUGAGUAACACGUAGUCAACCUACCCUGGCGUGGGGAAUAACUAACCGAAAGGUUAGCUAAUACCGCAUACGAUCAUUAAGGGGCAUCCUUUGAUGAUGAAAGGAGCAAUUCGCGCUAGGACGGGACUGCGUCCCAUUAGCUAGUUGGUGGGGUAAUAGCCUACCAAGGCUUCGAUGGGUAGCUGGCUUGAGAGAGUGACCAGCCACACUGGAACUGAGACACGGUCCAGACUCCUACGGGAGGCAGCAGUGGGGAAUUUUGGACAAUGGGCGCAAGCCUGAUCCAGCCAUUCCGCGUGAGUGAAGAAGGCCUUCGGGUUGUAAAGCUCUUUCGGCAGGGAAGAAAAGGUCUGGGUUAAUAACCUGGACUGCUGACGGUACCUGAAGAAGAAGCACCGGCUAACUACGUGCCAGCAGCCGCGGUAAUACGUAGGGUGCGAGCGUUAAUCGGAAUUACUGGGCGUAAAGCGUGCGCAGGCGGUUUAUCAAGUCUGACGUGAAAGCCCCGGGCUUAACCUGGGAACGGCGUUGGAAACUGAUAGACUUGAGUGCGGCAGAGGGGGGUAGAAUUCCACGUGUAGCAGUGAAAUGCGUAGAUAUGUGGAGGAAUACCGAUGGCGAAGGCAGCCCCCUGGGUUGACACUGACGCUCAUGCACGAAAGCGUGGGUAGCAAACAGGAUUAGAUACCCUGGUAGUCCACGCCCUAAACGAUGUCAACUAGUUGUUGGGGAGGGAGACCUCCUUGGUAACGCAGCUAACGCGUGAAGUUGACCGCCUGGGGAGUACGGUCGCAAGAUUA